AAAAAAGGUUGCCCAGAAUUCGGGAAUUUCGGUAAUCAUCAAAACAUCGUUGGUGUUACUAUGGUCAAAAUUUGAUUCUCUGGAGACCGAAUUAUAAACUUGCACAGUAAAUAGUUUUAGUUUGAUAAAUAAAGGGGAGGGGGGGUCUACUUUUGUAAUUUUUAAAAAAAAUUAUUUUCCAAUAAAAAAUUCUUUUCAGUUCCUUAAGGAAAAGUAAUAUGAUUUGAUAGCUUGGAUUACAUAGUCUAAACACUAUAACACAUUUAAACUCCGUUGUAAACAUGAGACAACCAAAGAUAUUCAAAAAAAAAAAUAGAGGGAAGAAAUUGCCACAAUUCAUUCCCUAUUCAAGCGAGAAACAAACAAAGAGAGUGAGCAAAAACACGGUAUUCACCUUCGUCUCUCUUGACUCUUCAAAACUGUGUUUUGACCCGAAACCCUAACCAAAGUUAACAUGCGUCGAUGGAGCAUCUUCUCGUUGAGGCCUUUCCAAUCCCAUACUUUUUGGUAGUUGUAAUCUCUCUGAUUUUCUCUUUUACUUUCUUUUUCACAAUUUCGGUGCUUCUUUAUUUUCUUUACUCUCUAGUUUGGACGCAUGCCUUUUCAUGAACCAUUUUUUUUUUUAAUUUCAUUUUUCUUGUUUGUUACUUGAAUCUGUUUCGAAUGUGCUAUUUUUCUUUGUGUUUAUGCGAAAUGCGAUUUCGAGUUUUUUGAUCGAUUGAAGUUUUGAAAACAAGAAGAUUGAGGCGUUGUGUUGUUGAAGCAAUAGAGAAUUGGGCUACUUUCGAUUUUUUUUUUCCUUACCAAAAAGACAUUUACAUUUUAUUGUGUGAAUUGGAAAGCAGGGAAGGAGGAGUAGCCUAGGGAUGAUGUUGUUGUUGAAGAUGAAACUAAUGGUGGGUUUCUAUUGAAUCUUCAUAUUUUGAUAUAGUUUAUGAUCCCGAUUCAGGUUUUGACUUUGAAGAUACUAGGUAAAAUGAACAUUGCUGCAUGGGCUAGCAAACAAGAGGAGGAUAAGGAUGCAUCCACUUCCUUGAAAACAAAAUCAGAACCACCUAAGAAUGUCAUUGAAGCACGUGCAGUAGCAUGAGAGGAAGCUGAGAAGGCCAAGUAUAUGGACAGUUGUUGGCUUGAAGUGAAACAGGCUUGAGAUCCCACAUGAUAUCUCACAAGAUUACACUAUUUUAGUUGUCCUAGGUACGUGCCAAAUUUCAUAAUGAUUUUCUUGCCAUCUAUAAAUUUAACUUGAACUUAGUAUCAUUAAGGGGAAUGGAGCAUAUACAUAAUUUUUUGUUAAAAUUAUUUAUAAAUCAUACUCA